CCUACGGGAGGUAGCAGUGGGGAAUUUUGGACAAUGGGCGAAAGCCUGAUCCAGCCAUGCCGCGUGAGUGAAGAAGGCCUUCGGGUUGUAAAGCUCUUUCAGUCGGAAAGAAAGAGUUGCAAUGAAUAAUUGUGAUUUAUGACGGUACCGACAGAAAAAGCACCGGCUAACUACGUGCCAGCAGCCGCGGUAAUA
rnacentral:rRNA from 1 species